UUGGUGUAUCAGCCUAUUCUCAAGUGAAAUAUCUCUCCACUAGCCUAUUAUAUUUUUGUGCACUUGGUGUUUAAAGUUUCAGGGAGUUUAAAGAGUUCUUUUGAGCUUUUAUGCCACAAACUGUUUAGGGGUGCUAUUGCUUUCUUUGUGCUGCUUCUGUAGUUAUAUUGUUUAGAUACUAUGAGGAUAGUGGUGAGGAAAUGUUAAGUUCUAUGUUAUUUUGGGGGAUUUUUUUACUUUGCUUGAAAACAUCUAGAUCCCAGUCCUAUUAUUAGGCUGAACUGGAAUACCACUAUACCAAUGCUAAAACUAGAACUAAAACUAUACAGCAUUCACUGUAAUGAAGAUUUAUCAGAAACCCUGGAGUUUAGGAAAAAGUGUUUUUAUUUUAAGAGUAAGACAGAGCACACUUCUGGAAACAGCAGUGCUUACUAAACUGCAUGUCUAGAUACUACUCUAUUGUAGAAACUUUAUAGGAAGUAUUCUUAAACUGUGUAGUUACUAUGUUUUUAUAUACUGCCUACCUAGUUUUCCACACUAUAAUGAACAUGUAAGAAAGACACAUGAAUGAAUUGGUACCCUACAUCAUUUUUAUCCCUAACCAUCUUUUUUUGUCAGGCUACUAGAUGAAGUGCUAGUAAAGCUAGAUAUUUUUAUUCAAAUACGAUUCAGGAAUUUUUCUUGGAUUUUUUUUUUUUUUCCUGUGUAUGUGUCUCUUUUCUGCCACCCUGUGGGCCAAUUUGUUUUAUUUCUAGGAUGGAUUCUUCCUCUGUUUCCUGGAAAAGAAUAGUUAUGUUUUUUUCUUACAUGGACUUUUCUGCAGUUGUUUUCUACUAAUUUCUGUUUUCAGAGCUGAAGUUUAACAAAACUCCUCCUAGUGUUUUAAGUCUUGCAUUAACUGUCUUGAGAAGCUGAUCAGUUCAAUUUCUGUUAAUGGCCUCAUAUCUAUCCUUUUUUCUUCUGAAUUUUUGAAAGCAGUUCAAAAAGAGGAAAAGAUACAAUUUGUAAUUACUGUUCUUACAAUAUACAUUUUAAGACAGCAGAAUGUAUGUAGUUCAAUUAAUUUGUAAUAAUAAUGUUACUUUAACUUCUUCUCAUAAAGCAAACCAAGCAGAAAUCUUUGAAUAAGAUAUACAAGUUUUAACAGAAGAAUAUGUAGACAUAAUAGAGGAAUGAAUUUUGACUUCUGACUGGAAAUAUUCUGUAGUCAAAAAAUUCUUGGCUAAGAAAAAAAACUUAGUUUGCUUAUACCUCUUGCCUCCCUUUCAUCUCCUGUAGAAUUAAACAUUUUAGUAUGUGUUCCUCUUGAUUCCCAUGAACACUGAGGGUUCCAGCAGGAAUUAAUUUAGUCAGUUUAAAAUAUGUACAUAACUUUAGAAGGUGAAAAAGCAUGGGUGUUUAUUUUCAGCUGUCUGUUCUGGAAUCAAGUUACUGUCCUGCAAAAGUAUUGACGUUUUAUUUCAGUAUAUGUUCCAGUGGGGCUCCCGACUCUAUUACAUUUGUAUUUGAUGCAAGUUAACCUGCUCUCUAUCUACUGACAUAAACUAAUCUACAAUAUAUUUAAUAAUCAUCUAGUUGUUAAUUUUAGAUCCUCAUAAUUUUUUUUCUCUGGAUACAUCAAAGUUUAAUUAACUUUCUCUGUUUAUAGAGUUCAGAAGUUUAAGAAUUCUUCACAUACAUGGUGUUUAAAAUAGCUUUGAAUUUGAUGUCUAGAUGUGUAUACCAUUGAAGGGACAGUUCACUGUAAUCUAACUGUGAGGUUUCUGGACUGUGUUGCAGAUGAAGUGGCUGAAAAAAUGUAUAGAAGUAAAUGAUGGAUAUUCUAACACAAAAGUGGCAAUCAAAAGACCUUCAGUCAACAUUCCUUGACUGUGGUAAGACACAUGAUUGCCAGAAGGAGUCAUUUUAAAGAUGGAAUUGAGGAAGUUUGCUGUGUUUUUUGUUCAUGCCACGUUUGCCUGCAUCUGAAAUAAUGUGAAAAUAUCAAUGGCUGGAAUUUCAAUGGAUUCUAGCAACAUGUUUUUUCUUCAGCUUACUUAGUAGCAAAUGGUGUCAAAUUAAGAAGAGUGGUUUAAAAGUGGCCAAGUGUUUGAAUUUUCAGGAGAUUUUCUGACAAAAUGGUCUGUUCGUUUGUUGUCCUGUACUUGGACAAUUUCCUUUAUGGAUAGUUGACUGCCUGUGACAGUGGUUUGAAAAGGGAAGAUUUUGUUGGAAAAUCAAGUUUUGUACAGGGGAGUCAAUGAGUUUGUGGAAGCAGACACGAGGGAAGGUGAGGCCAAUUGGCCAGACUUUGAAUACAGCAUGGAGAAUUGAGAAAGCAUGUUUUGAUAAGUACGUGCUAUAGAUGAAAGUGGGAAAGGAUCAAGACAUUCAGUAAAAGAGUAGGGAAGGAGAAGUUUGAGAACUGUUGUAGCAUAGACAGAUUCCUACAAAAUAUGGUAAUUCUUUGGUUUUGACAAACAAUGUAGGAAAACAUAAAUAAGGUUUCCUGAAAGCUCUAGGUGCAACAAUUUCUGUAGUUCAACCAGUUAGAAAAGUGAGGACAGAACUUUUCUCUUCCCCGUUUUCCUUCCUCCCUGCUUCCUUUCUCCCCUUUCCUGCUUUUUUUCCCUUUCUUAUACUUAGCUGGAUGAGAAAUUGUGAUAAAAGAUGACAGUAAAAGAAGAGACUUUUAAAUGUUCACACCUUGGGUAAGUGUCCUUAAAACUUUGUAAAGGAAGUAUUCUACAUGGAUUUCAUAGUUUAACAAGACUUCAGGUUUCUCUUUGAAGUUUGAAUUCAAAUAUAAAUUGUAAUAUUUUCCGUUUUUGUGAGAUACCCAACACUUCUACCCUAAAAAUUGAACAGUGCCAAAUAAAGUUUAAAUUUGCAACCACAACUCUUUCUGCGAUUUUUAGAUCAAAUUUUUUUUAUACAUAGAGAUUCUUUACAACUAUCAAAGUUCUAGAUGUGAUAAUGAAAAAAUUAUAUUCUCAUUUUAUAUGGCAUAUGAAUCUUUAAUAUAGGGAAUUGUUUAUGAAAAAUGAAAUCCUUAUAGUUUUUAUGCCUGAUGUGUCUUUUUUCACUCUUGUGUAGAUACUUACUGUUUUAUAAUAAAAUCCUGUUUUCCAGAAAGGGGGAAAAAAAAUGAAGUUUAAAUGUGAAAAAUAUUUUAGCUUGUCCAAGGCUUAUGUUGACUGAAAUAGGCCUAGGUCUUCAUGGUUGACAGCUGCAGAUAAUUAGCUUUUUCUUCCUCAACAAAGAAAGCAAAUGGAGCUGCAAGACAUUCUUUGCCUUUUCUGUCAUCAUAAUAAUAAUUUAUGUAUUUAACUUCUGCAGUUUCUUAAAUUGUUUUAGAGCUAAACUGCCUACAUUACAUGUAAUGGGAGUGACAAGUAAAAGCUGCAAAGCAUGUUUGUUUUGGAAGAGAAGGAAUGAUUGACAGCCACAUUCCUCUCUACAAGAAAAAGCUGUGUUGCAGAGUCUAAAAAAUGACCUAAAUGUAUAAUCCCUAACGCUUCAGACUUCAGAAGUUAAUUUUGAAAAGUGAUCACCGCUUUCGGUGCUUUUAGUAUGGAAACAACAAUGGUUAAAGUAUUACUUUGAAAAUAAGUUCUUUUCAGAAGUUUGUCAUCACUACAAGUAAUGGAAGUUAUGGAGAAAAUAAUAUGUGUUUUAUACUAUAAAAUAACUUUUUUACCCCAUUUGAAAGAAACCAAAUAACAAUGUCAAAGCUAAUCUGAACAUGUACGCUGGAAGACACAGGGACAUAAACUGUCCAUUAAUUAAAAACAUACCAUUUUGAUAUGAAAUAAGUUAGGACUUGUGGUUUUAUUUUGUGAGAGAUGGUUAUGAUUUACAUUAAUGUAAUUUUGUAAAUUGUAAGCUUAGCUCUGGUAUUUGUCAUGUCUAGCUGAAGACAAAAGAAUAUCCAGAAAUAAGGGUGUUAGUCUAGAAAUUUGCAGUCCGUUCCCUGUGUUGCUGAUUAUGUGUUUUCCAGAACAAAUAGUUUAGGCCUACAUACCCAAAUGUAUUGAGGGAUCUAAUUCCUCUUAGCUAAUCCUUAGAGUUUUUAAGUAUUAGUUUAUUUUUUUUCUUUUAAAAAGUGUGGUUUUUUUAAGUUUGUCAAUACACUUGACAUAAUUUCAUAUUGUGAUUUAGCAUCUCACAUAUGUUGCUGAAUUUAGAAGGAAAUGGCCAAGAUUUAAGAGAUAAGAGUCUUGUCUCACCAUCUUUUUGUUCUUUCAGUACUUAUUCUAUGGGCUUUUUCCCAAUCAGAUUGAAGAGCUUCCAUGUGAGCAAAAUAAUAUAUUGGUACAAAAUUGACGGUAUCCCAAUCAACAGAGAAGAAAUGAGGCUAAAUUGUGGGCUAAAAUUCUUUAGCAUAUAUCAGUCUCCAAAAAACAUUUUGGUAAUCGAGUAUCUUUUUUUUUUUUUCUUAAUGUUACACAUUUAUUUCACAAAAAUUGAUCCUUAUCAUCAUUUGUCAAUGCAAGAAUGUAAAUUUUAAAAGUAAUUCAAAAGCAGAUUGAUUGUAUUGUGGCUUUUAGUCACUAUCAACCACGAUGUAUAAACCAGUCCUUGCAGUUUUGUAUCACCUGCAAGCUUGCUGAGGUGGGCUUUGUUCCACCAUCUGGGUCAUUAGUGAAGAUGUUAAACAGUACUGUACCCAGUAUCAAUCCUUGCAGGUACUCAGCUAAUGACUGGCCUCCAGGUGGACUUUGUGCUACUGAUGACAGCCCUCUCUUGUUGUUAAAGUCCAUUCAGAGCUCUUCUUUUGAAAUAUGUGUACCACUAAACACAUCUUUAAGAACUUUGCAGACUUGAAGACACACACUUUCUAGUCGUAAGAGGUCAUUAGUGGUACAGGAUUCUCUCUUGGGCCUUACUGUUGCACCUGUGUGCUUAUACAAAAUGCCUGUCACUCACAGGAGAUACUUGAAGGUGUGUAUACCCUGGUUCAGUGACUGGUUCAUAAGGAUUGCAUGACAGGUAUCUCUAUCAAAUUCAUACAACAUGUUAGGCUGAUUCUGCUAACAAAAUCCUUUUAUCCUCCAGUGAUGUAAAACAGUAUCCUGCACAACCAUUAGGGAUUGUAGCAUGAGAAGCUUCAAGCAGAUUUAGGACUACUUAGUAAAGAAACAUGACAGUUAAUGAUAUCCAUGAAAAUCUUGAACCUUACCUGUACUUUGUAACAAAAGUUUCUGAGCUACAACUCAAAAAUUAGUCUCCUCUUAUCAUAAACUUCUGCAGUAAUAUUUGUCUCUCUUAAAUGCCACAGAUUUGUUUAUUCAUACCAGUUCUUAAUUUCCUUAAAAAUCAUGAGUGGAAUUACUUAAAUCUUUCUCAAAGAUCUCAAUUCUUUCCUUAUUUUGAAGCUCUUGCUACAUCAUGUUGCAGUGAAUUGCAAAUUGAGAUGGGAUCUAACCUUUGAGAAGAGGCCAGUCUCAAUGAAUUGCUGGUAGUGACUGAACAUUCUAGAAACUUGAUGAUAGAAUCAGCUCUUAAGCUAUUAUAUUUUAUUGUGCUUGUGUUCUUCCUGCACAAACUGGAAGAAUCUGAGUAAAGUUCAAUUUUUGUUCUCUAGUACAUGAGAUACAGUGCAGAGGAUACAGUUGCUCCUUGCCAGUUUCAGAGUCUGUGUUUGUUGUUAGUUAUUUCCCUUCUUCCAUUCUCUCAGUCUGCUUUCUGGCUCUAAUGCAGUAAAGCUUCAAAUAACGUACUGCUUAUCAUAAACUAAGACACAAAAGAAGUUCUUAAUCAUUUGAUUGUCAUAAAGAUACAUUGAUCUUGAUACAAAAGUUAGACAAUAACUCUCAAAAAUUGAAAUGAUAAAAUGGUAAUAUAUUGUGACUGAUGUAAUAUAUUAAACUGCUGAAUGUAUUUUUAUCAGACAUUUAUUGCAGAGCGUGAUAACAGUAACCAUUUAAUUUAUGAUAGUUUGCUACAGGAAGUACACCCCUAUUUGCUUGAGGUCAGAUUCUACUCUUGCAUUUUGUAUACUACUUGUGUACUUCCUGUUAAUAUCAUCCACUUCCUCACUGAUUUCUCUCUUUUUUUUUUUUUUUCUCCUUGCCUAGGUAUACCUAGAAACUUGUUAGCAUUUGUUGGAAACUUGCUAAAACAGAAAACAACAAAAUCUGAAUGCUUUUUAAACUGCAAUUUAUCAGCAUACAGUAAUCCAAUAAAAGGCAAGGAACAUUUGUGUUAAAAAAAAAAAAUUGUCUUUUAAGUGCAAUUUGUUUCAGUAUCUGGAGUCCAUAGGAAGUUCUUUUCAGAAGACAGGCUGAAAUGCUACCAAAGAUUAAUACGCCCUCUAAAAAUUAUCAUACUGUUUUAUCCCACCCCUCCUUGUUGUCCCUGGGAGCCACCAUUUUUUCAUCGCUGUCUCCCCGUGUGUGCACAGAGCACCCUGGGACCAUCUAGAGCAGCCGCCGCCAAUGAUUUGCUCCAAGCAGGGUGGAACUGGACGUCCCCUCCUGCUACAGAGUUGGGGCCACCACUUUGCUUUGGCCAUCAUCUCAUGGCAGCAAGCCAUCAUGUCUGGCCACCACGUAACCCACAUGCUUACAUACUGCCCUGCAACUGGCUGCCAGUGCUGACAGCAUCAAAGGCAUGUGACCUCAGCACACACUCCAGUUGGCUGCUUAUUUCCUUUGGACCAGAUAUAAAUACCUGUCCAUUUAUAUGUAUGUAUAGUUGUAGUAAAUCUAGAUAUAAAAUGCUUUACAGAGACAUAAAAACACGUAUUUUACUUAUACUUUGUGCUUUAUAUAUAGCUUUAUAGAAGUAUUAUAUACAAUAUAGAUAUGUAUGCUUUAUAUACUGUAAACAUAUAUAAAUUAAAUAUAUGUUUACAUAAAAGUGUAUCCAUAAAAUGUGUAAAAACAUUUGUUAGAACUAAUGAAAUGUAUUAAUUAAAGUUUAAGGGUGAAUGGGAAGUAAUGAAAUAACAGCAUAAAGUAGGUCGGGGGCCCCCACUUCACAAGUCCAAUGAACAAAUCCUGACAUGUUUGGGGUGGAGGGAGGUAUAAGAGGACAAGGACAGGGUAUGAGGAGGGCAGUGUGGGGAGAGGGGCACAAUCAAGUGAGAACAUGCCCAGGGGCUACCAGCCUGUCCUCAGAGAUGGCCCACCAAGGGGCCCCUGUGCAUCCCCUGCCAUGUGAAAAGAGGAGCCCAAUCCGGGAGCCCCACAACUGGCACCAAACUGCCUGCCAGGAUGGCCAUGCACUGUUUAUUACUGGGGCAGCUUUGAGGCUUUGUGCUGUGUUGCAAGACACAGCAUUGCUGUCUGCAAAAGUGGAAAUCCAGAGCAAAAGGCCAGCUGCAGAAGAACAUGGGUGUGGAGGCAAUAAGGACAAGCCCCAGCAGGACUCCUGAGAAAAGACCACAUGAAACAGGAGCCGUCUGACAGGCCUGUGAAUCAGUAAGCAACUUCCAGGUCGAUGUCCUUAUAGAACAUUUUAAAAAGCUCCAGCUGACUAGCUGAGGAGGCAGAAGACAGAAGUGUUGCUAUCUGGGCCUGCAGCGGUUAAAGAAUGAGGAGAGAAAGGACAGUGGCUUUCAUGGAAGAGCGGAAAAAAACACAACAAAACCUUGGAAAAGCCUGACCUAUGACUGACACCCAUCAUAACCACUUAAUAAAGUAUCUCUGUGCAUGAA